GAUGAAGAACGUAGCGAAAUGCGAUAAGUAAUGUGAAUUGCAGAAUUCAGUGAAUCAUCGAAUCUUUGAACGCACCUUGCGCCCUUUGGACUUCUGAAGGGCAUGCCUGUUUGAGUAUCAUGAACACCUCAACUCCUUAUGGUCUUCCAUGAUGAGCUUGGACUUUGGGGGUUUUGCUGGCCUACAGUCAGCUCCUCUAAAAUAAAUCAGCUUACCGGUGUUUGGUGGGUAUCAUGGGUGUGAUCACUAUCUACGCUCGUGGUUUUCCACCAGGUAACCUUCAGCAGUGGAGGUUCACUGGAGCUCAUAGAUGUCUCUCCUCAGCGAGGACAGCCCUUUGAAUGUUUGAUCUCAAAUCAGGUAGGACUACCCGCUGAACUUAAGCAUAUCAAUAAGCGGAGGA
rnacentral:misc_RNA from 1 species